CUGGCUCAGAACGAACGCUGGCGGCGCGUUUAAGCAUGCAAGUCGAGCGGCAAGGGCCUUCGGGCCCCUAGAGCGGCGGACGGGUGAGUAACACGUGGACAAUCUGCCCCCCGGCCCGGGAUAGCCCAGGGAAACCUGGAUUAAUACCGGAUGAGACGGGACCCGCGAUGGCGGGACCCGGGAAAGGCGCUGCGGCGCCGCCGGGGGAUGAGUCUGCGUCCCAUUAGCUAGACGGCGGGGUAACGGCCCACCGUGGCGACGAUGGGUAGCCGGCCUGAGAGGGUGGACGGCCACAUUGGAACUGAGACACGGUCCAGACUCCUACGGGAGGCAGCAGCUAAGAAUCUUCCGCAAUGGGCGAAAGCCUGACGGAGCCGACGCCGCGUGAACGAAGAAGGCCGUGAGGUUGUAAAGUUCUUUUCGGGAGGGGGAACAACCGUGGCAGGGAAUGGCCGCGGGAUGACGUGAAUCCCGGAAUAAGCCCCGGCUAACUACGUGCCAGCAGCCGC
rnacentral:rRNA from 1 species